rnacentral:rRNA from 1 species
CCUACGGGAGGCAGCAGUGAGGAGUAUUGGUCAAUGGCCGGAAGGCUGAACCAGCCAUGCCGCGUGAAGGUCAGUGCCCUAUGGGCGUUAAACUUCUUUUGUGCGGGAGCAAUAAUGGUCACGUGUGGCCAGACGAGAGUACCGUAAGAAUAAGCAUCGGCUAACUCCGUGCCAGCAGCCGCGGUAAUACGGGGGAUGCAAGCGUUAUCCGGAUUUAUUGGGUUUAAAGGGUGCGUAGGCUGUGAGGUAAGUCAGCGGUGAAAUGCCCCCGCUCAACGGGGUGAAGUGCCAUUGAUACUGCCUGGCUGGAAUGCGGAUGCCGUGGGAGGAAUGUGUGGGGUAGCGGUGAAAUGCAUAGAUAUCACACAGAACACCGAUUGCGAAGGCAUCUCACGAAUCCGCGAUUGACGCUGAUGCACGAAAGCGUGGGUAUCAAACAGGAUUAGAUACCCGUGUAGUC